rnacentral:SRP_RNA from 1 species
GCCGGGUGUGGUGGCUCACACCUGUAAUCCCAGCACUUUAGGAGGCUGAGGCGGGUGGAUCACUUGAGGUCAGGAGUUCGAGACCAGCCUGACCAACAUGGUGAAACCCCAUCUCUA